AAUAUCGCUUGGGAGCGCGGUGU
rnacentral:siRNA from 1 species